AUGGUGUCCGUCAAGGAGAGAAGCAAUUCAGGGCCGAGAUUACUUGUGUACGAACACAUGUUAAAUGGGUCUCUUGAUGGUCAUCUAUUUAAGACAAGCAAUGCAAAUGUUGUCAUCCUAAAUUGGAACAUCAGCUAUCAGAUAGCGCUAGGAGUUGCUAGAGGAUUGUCCUACUUGCAUCAGGGUUGUCGCAAGUGCAUCAUACACUGUGAUAUUAAGCCAGAGAACAUACUUCUGGAUGCAUCGUUUGUUCCUAAAGUUGCAGACUUUGGGUUGGCAGCGUUUGUGGGAUGGGAUUUCAGCCGAAUUCUAACUUCAUUCAGAGGAACUGUGGGUUAUCUUGCCUCAGAGUGGCUUACUGGAGUGGCGAUCACACCGAAAGUCGACGUUUACGGCUUUGGUAUGGUGUUAUUUGAAAUCAUAUCAGGAAGGAGGAAUUCUUCACCUGAAACAUCGUACAACACUUGCAGCAACUACAGUGACCAGAAUAUUGAAUACUUCCCUGUGCAAGCCAUCAGCAAGCUUCACGGUGGAUACUUGAAGAGUUUGGUGGAUCCAGAGUUACAUGGUGUUCUCAAUUUGGAAGAGGCUGAAAGGGUUUGCAAAGUUGCAUGUUGGUGCAUCCAAGAUAAUGAAUUCAAUCGGCCAACAAUGGGUGAAGGUGUCCGGGUUAUCGAUGGUCAACAGGACAUUGAUGUUCCUCCAAUGCCAAGAUUGCUUGCAGCUAUAACAGAACAAUCUGGUGCUGCAACUUCAAUGUAA
rnacentral:rRNA from 1 species